GAGUUUGAUCCUGGCUCAGGAUGAACGCUGGCGGCGCGCCUAACACAUGCAAGUCGAACGAGCGAGAGAGAGCUUGCUUUCUCAAGCGAGUGGCGAACGGGUGAGUAACGCGUGAGGAACCUGCCUCAAAGAGGGGGAUAACAGUUGGAAACGGCUGCUAAUACCGCAUAAGCGCACAGCAUCGCAUGAUGCAGUGUGAAAAACUCCGGUGGUAUAAGAUGGACCCGCGUUGGAUUAGCUAGUUGGUGAGGUAACGGCCCACCAAGGCGACGAUCCAUAGCCGACCUGAGAGGGUGACCGGCCACAUUGGGACUGAGACACGGCCCAAACUCCUACGGGAGGCAGCAGUGGGGAAUAUUGCACAAUGGGCGAAAGCCUGAUGCAGCGACGCCGCGUGAGCGAAGAAGUAUUUCGGUAUGUAAAGCUCUAUCAGCAGGGAAGAUAAUGACGGUACCUGACUAAGAAGCACCGGCUAAAUACGUGCCAGCCGCCGCGGUAAUUC
rnacentral:rRNA from 1 species